rnacentral:rRNA from 1 species
CUGGCGGCGUGCUUAACACAUGCAAGUCGAACGAGACGAAUUAGAAGCUUGCUUUUGACGAGCCGAGUGGCAAACGGGUGAGUAACGCGUAGACAACCUGCCGCAAAGAUGGGGACAACAGUCCGAAAGGACUGCUAAUACCGAAUGUUGUAUCUCCUCCGCAUGGAAGAGAUAUUAAAGAUGGCCUCUACUUGUAAGCUAUCGCCUGAAGAGGGGUUUGCGUCUGAUUAGGUAGUUGGUGAGGUAACGGCCCACCAAGCCGACGAUCAGUAGCCGGUCUGAGAGGAUGAACGGCCACACUGGAACUGAGACACGGUCCAGACUCCUACGGGAGGCAGCAGUGGGGAAUCUUCCGCAAUGGGCGCAAGCCUGACGGAGCAACGCCGCGUGAGUGAAGAAGGGUUUCGACUCGUAAAGCUCUGUUGUCGGGGACGAAUGUGGAGAUGGUGAAUAACCAUUUUCAAUGACGGUACCUGACGAGGAAGCCACGGCUAACUACGUG